GAUGAACGCUGGCGGCGUGCCUAAUACAUGCAAGUCGAGCGAACAGACGAGGAGCUUGCUCCUCUGACGUUAGCGGCUGACGGGUGAGUAACACGUGGAUCACCUACCUAUAAGACUGGGAUAACUUCGGGAAACCGGAGCUAAUACCGGAUAAUAUAUUUAACCGCAUGGUUAACUAGUGAAAGACGGUUUUGCUGUCACUUAUAGAUGGAUCCGCCUCGCAUUAGCUAGUUGGUCAGGUAACGAAUUACCAAGGCAACGGUGCGUAGCCGACCUGAGAUGGGGCAGCGACACACUGGAACUGAGACACGGUCCAGACUCCGUCGGGAGGCAGCAGUAGGGAAUCUUCCGCAAUGGGCGAAAGCCUGACGGAACAACGCCGCAGGAGUGAUGAAGGUCUUCGGAUCUUAAAACUCUGUUAUAAGGGAAGAACAAAUGUGUAAGUAACUAUGCACGUCUUGACGGUACCUAAUCAGAAGGCCACGGCUAACUACGUG
rnacentral:rRNA from 1 species